rnacentral:lncRNA from 1 species
GACUUAACCCGGAUUUAGUAACUCGCACAAAUGCCUUCGGGACUUAACCCGGAUUUAGUAACUCGCACAAAUGCCUUCGGAUCUUGGUCCGGAUAUGGUCACUUAGCACAAAGCCUUCGGGACUUAGCCCGGACAUCAUUCAAAUAACCAUGCACAUUUAACAAUAAAUCAUGGCACAUUCGUAUUUCUUUUUCGUUAGCAAAACUCAAACACAAGACACUUAUCAUUCUUGCAAUUUCGGCUCAA